GGAGUAUAGCUUAAGAGGUAGAGUGCAUGCUUGGCAUGCCCAGGGUCCUGGGUUCAAUCCCCAGUAUCUCCU
rnacentral:tRNA from 1 species